ACAAAAUCGCGUAAGCCUUGGACACCAAGAGUCUAUUUAAAUUCACAAAAUUAUCAGUUUGACAUCGAAAUUUGACCGUUGGGCUCUGAGAGGCUCUACAAAAUUCUAACAUCUCCAUCUCCGACGAAGAAAUUGAGAAGCCGUCGAAAAGUUAGAUCGUGGAGCCACCGUUGUCGCCGAUCUCAGCGAAGGGGAAAGAAACGAAGUCGUUGGAGAAAGAUCUAGUGGAGUAGGAGGCGUUGUUGGAGAAAACAGACGAUUUUCUGAAGGAGAAAGGAUGAUAUCCUGAGGAAGAAGAAGAUGAAGAAUGAGAAAGUCUCGACCGUGUUUGCCGGAGAUGCUAGAUUGGUGGAGGAGCCGAAUUACAAAGAAUUCCACGGUCAAUUCGCGGAGAGUGAAAUUGCCGAUUUUCAAAGAGAAUAACAUCAAUCGAAGAUGCAAUUGAUUCAAACAUCGAGGAUUUGAAGUAAAACCCUGAAAGUGGAAGCUUUUGUUUCUCUGAUUCUGGAAAGUUUCCAGUAUCCAUCCUCUUGAUUAAAUUCGUAUCCGUGCUUGUUAAUGGACGCUAAUUAUAUAUCUUUUUUUGUUUCUUAUUAGGGGCUUCUAAGAAGAUUCUUGGAUAUAGUUAUGGUGAUGCUUCUUAAAUCCGAAAGAGAAGCAGACGGUCUCUUUGGAAAGUUGUGCGGUAGUGUCUCCCUAAUCAGGUUUCUUUUCUGGAUUGUUGUCUUAGUAGGAACAAGCUGGCCACAAUUCUUGAAGAGGAAGAAGCGAGAUGGAGAAUGAACACCAGUGAGACAAUAUUUUCAUUGGUCAAUGGAGAAACAUUAUAACGGAGAACAGCCGUUGCAGCAUAAUCUUGAACCUCUUUAGUUUGUAUGAUUUUGAUGAUGACAUGUAAAUUCUAGCUUUACAUGAUGCAUGAUAAGCUGAAAGGAUACUCAAGCCAAUCAUAAGGAUGUUAUAUGUAGAGUAGAGACACUAUCAACAUAAUCAGUAGAUUUAAAUGUUAUGAUGGAACAUCAAUACCCAAGCUGAGGGUUCGCAGUACAUGAAAAUUCAUGGCGUCUGAAACUCAUGACCCUUUUCUCAUUCGCCAGGUAAGUCUAGCUUUUCUGUAGAGUUUUUCUCCCUUUGGUUAUUCAAUACUUGGUUGAAUAGCUUAUUACUACUGAAUAUUUAUUUGGUUGCAACAUGAGCUGAAAUUCAUUUGACAACAAGGAGUAUUUUGUCAUGAGUCAGUUGGUUCACGCAUUCAAAUAAGUUCCUUGAAUCCUAUUUACUGAAUUAGUUUGUGUUCCUUUCACCUUUAUCACGUCUCUGCAAUUGUUCAUUAUUGUUUCUUUUUAACAGGUUUUCUUUAUACCUGAUCGCUCAAUACUUCUUUAUGCUGUGUCUUGGAGUUGCCCGAAUUAAUAUCCUUUUGUAAUGUUUCCUUUUCUGAGUAUACCUGAUUGAUCAAUACUUCUUAAUUGGCUUUUAUUUUCUCAUUUUCUCACAACCAUUUUUAGUCUGGUGUGUAAGUGGUUUGGCUACUUCUUUCUUAAGGAUUAUGUCAUUGAUUUUGUUAGCAGGCUCCGUAUUUUUUCUACCAACUUUAGGAGGAUCCAGAAACAACAGUACUCUCGUUGAUGCAGCACAAUGAAAAAUUCGUUGAAGGGAAGACCAAGGUUGUGAAAAUCGAUGGGCGUGUGGUUUCUGACGGAAAAGUUGGCCGGGUAACAAGAACACUGCAAAACGCUUACAAGAAAGACAGAGGAUUCUGGUGUGCCAUUCUAGUUUCUCCAAUGUAUAUUUGAGAAGGUGCAGCCCCAUCCCGUGGUGAUUAAUCUGUUAACUAGAGUCGAAGAAAUCAGACCGAAAUGGAAAAUAGUUCCUACAAAAGACGUGAUUGACGCUGCUUUCAAGGACCUCGUCUAGCGAGAAGAGGUAAGGGACAACAAGCUGAUAUAUCAAGACAAGCCUAGGCUUAAAACAGCACUUGAGAUAUUUAGGACAAGCAAGAACCUCGAAGAUAGUCUCCACGAGUUUCAUUACUUAUAUAUUAUUUUUGAUCCCAUGAUAUGAGUUUCCUGACAAAAUUACUUGACUAAGACAACAUGUGAUCGGAUUGUGUAGAUAACAAUACCUUUCUUUGUAUUACACGGAGAAGCAGAUAUAGUGACGGAUCCAGAGAUAAGCAAAGCCCAGUACGAGAAAGCUAGCACGUUUUGGUUUCUUUCUUUUAAUGGUCCUCAGAUACAGGGGAUAUCACGUUUUGGUCUCUCUUUUUUAAUGGUCCUCAGGCUUUGGCUCCUAAAUUGCAACAUGUGGCUUUCUUCUGUUGAUCACUCCCAAUGAAAUGCAUUUUUUCUACGAAGAGCAGCUGCAUCGAAUGGAAGGAACAUGUAUGGACAACAGGAACUAUGGGAGAACUAAGCCCGGUUCAAGUGCAUAUAUAGACCUGGCUGGAAAUGGGGUGAUCACUCUCAAUGAACAUGUACUCUUUGAAGAUAUCCUAUGUUAAGUAUUCGACAUGACUAAACUAGA